rnacentral:rRNA from 1 species
AACGAACGCUGGCGGCAGGCCUAACACAUGCAAGUCGAGCGAGCAUUUCGGUGCUAGCGGCGGACGGGUGAGUAACGCGUGGGAACGUGCCCUUUUCUGCGGAAUAGUCCUGGGAAACUGGGGGUAAUACCGCAUACGCCCUUUUGGGGAAAGAUUUAUCGGAGAAGGAUCGGCCCGCGUUGGAUUAGGUAGUUGGUGGAGUAAUGGCCCACCAAGCCGACGAUCCAUAGCUGGUUUGAGAGGAUGAUCAGCAACACUGGGACUGAGACACGGCCCAGACUCCUACGGGAGGCAGAAGUGGGGAAUCUGAGACAAUGGGGGCAACCCUGAGCUAGCCAGGCCGCGUGAGUGAUGAAGGCCUUAGGGUUGUAAAGCUCUUUCAGCUGGGAAGAUAAUGACGGUACCAGCAGAAGAAGCCCCGGCUAACUCCGUG